AUGUUUCUUUCUCGAGACCAUGUUUCAGGAAACUGUUCCAGCUGCUGUCACUGCCCCUGGGUUUCAGCUGCAAGGAACUGUGCAGUGUCUUUGCCUACCACGUGGCCAUCACUCCCGGGGCGGAGCCACGACCUCAUGACCCGGCCUAUGGUCAGCACCCAGUGCCUGCUGUAUGAGUGGAGAGUGCCCCCUCCAGCUGACCUGUGUGCAGGUGAGGGUGUGCUCAUUCAUCUCUGUGUCUUCUAUCACUGUGCAGAGCUCCUGGGUCAUUUCAGCUGCUCAGCAAACAUCGUUUGAAUGGAGGUGGGUUAGGGAGUGAAGGGAACAGGGACCUGAUUGACAGUCAGGGCUGGAAUUUCCCACCAUGUUCCAGUAAGGCCCCCGUGGUUGUUGAAACAUUGCAGGGCCUUCAGACUGGUUGGGAAUUAGUCAUGUGCCCCCACCCCUGUGCCCACUGCUGUGCCCUGGCCUCCUGGUCUGUCCCUCAGCACCCUACAUGUCUCCACGAGCCAGCAUCCAAAGGGUAACCCCAGCACAGCAGAGGCCUCUGUCACCUCCCUCAGCCCAUUUGGACUGGUCGGUGCCCAGCCUUGUGUGGUGUUCUCUAUUUUGUGGUAAAGGUUCCAUGGGUAUUGAUAGUUUCAGGUAAGAACAACAGAAGAAAAGAUAAUUCUGCCAGGAGACCCACAGGCUUAGAACACACUGGCCUAGCCUCUCAGGGCCCAUUCUACCACUCGGCCCUGGGCCCUGGCAGAUAAGCUCCAGAUGCUCAGCUGCUCCCUCCCAUGAGAGGGGUAGGACCGCGUGGGCAAGAAGCAAAGCGUGGGCACAGCCUCCUGGGCACGAAAGUGCUCUUGGCUCGGUGACAGCAGGGAAUGGGUCACACGUGGCUGUGGAAAGCUCUCUGCCCAACACCCACCCAGGAUGGUGCUGACAAGUGCAGCUGGACCCAGCG
rnacentral:lncRNA from 1 species